AGUGAACGCUGGCGGUAGGCCUAACACAUGCAAGUCGAACGGCAGCACAGUAAGAGCUUGCUCUUACGGGUGGCGAGUGGCGGACGGGGGAGGAAUAAAUCGGAAUCUACUUUUUCGUGGGGGAUAACGUAGGGAAACUUACGCUAAUACCGCAUACGACCUACGGGGGAAAGCAGGGGAUCUUCGGACCUUGCGCGAAUGAAUGAGCCGAUGUCGGAUUAGCUAGUUGGCGGGGUAAAGGCCCACCAAGGCGACGAUCCGUAGCUGGUCUGAGAGGAUGAUCAGCCACACUGGAACUGAGACACGGUCCAGACUCCUACGGGAGGCAGCAGUGGGGAAUAUUGGACAAUGGGCGCAAGCCUGAUCCAGCCAUACCGCGUGGGUGAAGAAGGCCUUCGGGUUGUAAAGCCCUUUUGUUGGGAAAGAAAAGCAGCAGGUUAAUACCCCGCUGUUCUGACGGUACCCAAAGAAUAAGCACCGGCUAACUUCGUG
rnacentral:rRNA from 1 species